rnacentral:lncRNA from 1 species
GCCCAGGAAGGGAAGUGGAAGUAGAGAAAGAGUCAUCUCAGCUAGUUCUGUUCUUGAGAGCCAGCGAGGAGGCGCCAGCCCUGAGAACUCCCAAGGCAUUACCCCGGAGCAGCCUGGGCUCUGUUAAUAGCCUGCUUUCCUGCCUGAGGUUCAAUACAAAGAAUGGCUGCCAAAGGACUUUGGAGAAACUGGAGCAUGCUAGUGACAGCAGCAAAGUUCAGAAUAGAGCCCAGCUCUCACUCCAGGAUCCAUCUUGGACAUAACCACAGCUAGCAUUCCCCUGCCCCAGCUCCUCAUCCUUGUCUUGUCAGAUGUCUUCUACUGAAGGCAGCUCUGAGGACUCCUGGAAAGGCGCAACCCAGGUAAUGAAACCUUGUAAAAUGUUAAGAUUGAAGUUGUAGUCUGCCCUAAGUUACUCCAUUUGUAUAAACUAGAGUCUAUCCUGAUUGCUUUGUCCUGAGAGACUCCAUUUUAAGAAUGACUCUGUACUUGGGUUCAUAAAUAAUCACUGUCAUCUGUCUAGCAUCAUCCACAUAGAACAAACUGAUAAAUGACCCAUUCCUGUUAAAAGUAGAAAGGGUGAACUGGGUCUGUAAGCACAUUGAUACACUAAGAUAAUAUCAGGAAAAGCAGACACAAUGACUUAUCAAACACAGCAGACUAAGGAAAGAGUGCAACCUGUGCCCUGUGAAAAAGGAAGACAUCCAAUGCUGCAAUGGUAACAAUUUCCAGUUCCAGGUCACCUAACCAAGCCACAUGUGUGUCAGAGGACCGGGGGACAGAGAACUGCCAACUGUCCCAAUGGCUUCAGCUCAUCUCAGUCCCUGCUACUGCCACAGCCUACCCCAGGUGCCAUCUGUUCACCUGUCUGGACUUGCCGUACGUCUGUCUGUUCUGAUCCAGUCCUGUCUUUCUGCAUCACUCUAACAGUUGAACCCUGGCCUUGUGCCCUGCCUCUGCCAACAACAGGAGUCGCUUCUCAGGGUUUUCUGCCCUUUAGCUGGUGAAUUAUCUCACUCCCAGGGAAACUACAUUUUCAUCCAUUUCCCAGCUCUGGCUUCUUGUGUCUUUUUGAAACUCUUUUCCUCAUUAACUCUUAUUAAGAAUGAUCUUACAUCAUUCUUAACCUACCUAUAUAUACACACAUAGAUAAAUGUACCAUGUAAUAUGUGAUGUGCAAUCUGAAGGUGUGGAACAAGAGGAGCUUCGAACGCCUCCACCAGGACUAUUGAGAGAAGCAGAAGUGCCUGCUCAAUCACUGCCAGACGGUGUGGAUCUAUUGCUGC